rnacentral:rRNA from 1 species
UACGUAGGUGGCGAGCGUUGUCCGGAUUUACUGGGUGUAAAGGGCGUGUAGGCGGGAUAGCAAGUCAGAUGUGAAAUACCAAGGCUUAACUUUGGGGGUGCAUUUGAAACUGUUAUUCUUGAGUGUCGGAGAGGGAAGCGGAAUUCCUAGUGUAGCGGUGAAAUGCGUAGAUAUUAGGAGGAACACCAGUGGCGAAGGCGGCUUUCUGGACGAUAACUGACGCUGAGGCGCGAAAGCGUGGGGAGCGAACAGGAUUAGAUACC